UACGAAGGGGGCUAGCGUUGCUCGGAAUCACUGGGCGUAAAGGGUGCGUAGGCGGGGCUUUAAGUCAGGGGUGAAAUCCUGGAGCUCAACUCCAGAACUGCCUUUGAUACUGAAGAUCUUGAGUUCGGGAGAGGUGAGUGGAACUGCGAGUGUAGAGGUGAAAUUCGUAGAUAUUGGGAAGAACACCGGUGGCGAAGGCGGCUCUCUGGACCGAUACUGACGCUGAGGCGCGAAAGCGUGGGGAGCAAACAGG
rnacentral:rRNA from 1 species